rnacentral:rRNA from 1 species
GACGAACGCUGGCGGCGUGCUUAACACAUGCAAGUCGAGCGGUAAGGCCCUUUCGGGGGUACACGAGCGGCGAACGGGUGAGUAACACGUGGGUGACCUGCCCUCAGCUCUGGGAUAAGCCUGGGAAAACUGGGUCUAAUACUGGAUAUGACUCCACGGUGCAAUGUCGUGGGGUGGAAAGCCUUGUGCGGCUGAGGAUGGGCCCGCGGCCUAUCAGCUUGUUGGUGGGGGAUGGCCUACCAAGGCGACGACGGGUAGCCGGCCUGAGAGGGG